rnacentral:lncRNA from 10 species
GUGAUUCAGCGUCCCUCUUAGCAGCAGGCAAUGACAGAGGCAGGAGAGGGGAAAAAAAAAAAGAAAGAAAGAAAAAACACAGCAAAUGAAUCAAACGGACGUAGCAGGCAAGAGUGUGGUUAUCGUUGGACCAGGAUUCAGGAUCUGACUGAGUAGCUGACUCUUAAUCCAGUUUGUGUUGAUCACCAGGAGGAUCUGGACCUCAGUAUUACCACAUCUAGAGGUGAUAUGCCAACUCCACCUUUGCCUUCCACCAUGUUUGGAAGCUCCCUGAGGCCUCACCAGGAGCAGAUGCUCGUCCCAUGCUUCCUAUAAGCCUGCAGAACUGGAAAAGAAAGCUGGAUAAAGUAUUUAUAGAAGAUAGAGGACCUGUGGUGGCUCAUGCCUGUAAUCCAAGGUGGAAGGAUUGCUUGAGGCCAGAAGUUCAAGACCAGUCCAAGCAACAUAGCAAGGCCCCAUCUCUACAAAAAAUGAAAAUAAAAUUAGCCGAGCGUGAUGGCUCAUGCCUGUAGUUCUAGCUUCUAGAGAGGCUGAGGCAGGAGGAUUGCUUGAGUCCAGGAGUUCAAGAUUACAGUGAGCUAUGGUCACACCACUGCACUCCAGCCUGGGUGAUGGAGUGAGACUGUCUCAAUAAAAAGACAAAAAGGUAAGCCCUUAGGUAAAGUAAGCUUGCUUCUUUGUUAGAGCUAUCCAUGCUGAGUCCAGGCAAAGAAAAUGCUUUCUUUGGCCUGGUGCGGUGGCUCAUGCCUGUAAUCCCAACACUUUUGGAGGCCAAGGUGGGCAGAUCACAAGGUCAAGAGUUCAAGAUGAGCCUGACCAACAUGGUGAAGCCCCAUCUCUACUAAAAAUACAAAAAUUAGCCAGGUGUGGUGGUGCGCACCUGUAAUCCCAGCUAUUCAGGAGGCUGAGGCAAGAGAAUCACUUGAACCCAGGAGGCAGAGGUUGCAGUGAGCUGAGAUUGCACCUUUGCACUCUCACUCUGGCCUGGGCAAUAGAGCAAGACUCCAUCUCAAAAAAAAAAAAAAAAGAAAAAAGAAAAUGCUUUCUUUGCACAGUUCAGUAAUGAGCUCUGCCCCGAACUCAGUAAUUUUAGCAAAGAAACAGUAGCUAAGUUAAGAAGACCGCCUAUUGAACUAAGUUGGUCUCCAAAAUGUACCUUUCUGGCAUUUAGAUGGCUACUUUGAAACCCUUUUGUAAAUGAAAUUUACAUCUAUAAAGGAAAUCGCCAUCUGUAAGGGCAUCUACACUGAGAAGAGGGUGGACUGGGUCACUAGAAACUCUUACCACUGAUCUAACAUAAAUCUUACCAUUGUUUAAGGUGCUUUUCCUUGCCAUCUUGUCUUAACCGGGCCUUUACCGACACUUUUCUUCCUUGGUUUAGGGAACCAGUGGUACAGUAUUUAGGCCCAAAGUCUCAGCUCUGUGCUUUUGAGAUAUGAAUUUUUCACCGUGUUCCACCUAAUAGCAUCCCUUUAGAAGUACAAAUUUAGGGCCGGGCGCGGUGGCUCACGCCUGUAAUCCCAGCACUUUGGGAGGCCGAG